AAUUUGGCUCUGUGUAUUGGGAUGUCACACGGUGUUUUACAACAUUACUUUAAUCUUUACUUCUCGCUUAUGUUGGAAAGGAGCCUCACAUCCAGGCAGCAGUUGACCAUGCACUUCUGGUAAUUAACCUAAAAAUAUAAUGACAUUUAAAUGUGCAGAAAUAUGACAUCAUGCAAAAUCGCCCAUGAUGCAGUCAUUGACAGGAAUUCGGUUCUUUUAAAUGUGGUCGUUAAGAGUGUUGCAUCGCACCAAAAAAGGUUGUUGGUUGGAAUCGUUUAGGCUGAACUGUGUCUUUGACUUUGGCUGUGAGUAUCUACACCUACCCACUACAGUGUGGGUGUAGAUGUGUAGACCUUUCACUCUUGUGUCAUCAGCUUCACUCCAUCCACCCUCUCUCUGAAUUCCCCUGAACCAGGUCCCUGAACUGGAUAAGAUGUAAAGAAAAUUAAUAUGUGUGUGGAUUAAGAUUAUUACGCUGGAAACACAGUUAGAAUAACUAAAACUUAAAAACGUGUUUAAAAGCGGGAGUAGACAAAAUGGAAACUAAACGCACGUCAGCAGGAAGCCACUGCUCCUUCUUCUUAUUUUACUUUCACUUUCAGACUCCGAGCCGCACAUGAAGCGCUUCCUUCCUUCUUGUUACUGAAGAAAACAGCUUGUUUUAUAAUUUUUUCUCGUCUCCAUGAAGAGAAUGGUGGUGACGAUCAGCUAAUUAAGCUCCUGUCUGAACAGGUGAGUUUGAUGUGGUCGGAUCACUUCAGCCUAUCCUGGCCGCUCCAGGUGAUGAUGUCAUCCUGCCGUGUCGCGUGGAGCCAAAGUUUAAUGUGGCAGGGUUGACGGUGGAGUGGUCGAGGCCCGAUCGUCGUCCUGACCCCAACGACCGUCUGAGUCGAGUGGAUUAUGUUCAUCUUUACAGAGACGCCCGCGAGGUCCCUGACAUGAAGAUCCCAUCGUACGUCGGGAGGACGGCGUUGUUCACAGACGGCCUGAGAGAAGGAAACAUCUCACUAAGAAUCACUAAUGUGACACAAGAAGAUGAAGGAAGAUACAGAUGUUUCAUCCCAAAGUUAAAGAGUCAAACACAGUCUUCAAUUGUUCAUCUGAUUGUUGCUGAAACUAUGACAACAGAGACGCCACUGCAUCCUGAAACUCUCCAAACUCCUGAGGACGAGUUUCACAGUAAAGGUGGUUUGUCCCGUCGGAGCCGACUGAUCCCACUUGUGGUUUUCUGUGUUUUUAUGCUGCUCUGUGUCGCAGUCGCAGGAGGCUGGUUCAUUGAGUCAAAGUUUAAAAAAACAGAACUCAAGAAAGGACCUCCUAACUAGGUGCCUUGCUCAUGGACGUGCCUUGCUCCCAAACUCCCAGUUGGGAUUCAGGAGACGGAUACCCUCUCUAUUUUAAAGAUUAGGUGUAAAACUUUUCCUUUUAAUAGCUAGGGAUUGAGACCUAGCUUUAUGACCUAGCUGUCAGCAAAGCUCUGCUGAGGGUGGCGAGAUCAGCACAGCGCAUCACCAGGACUGAACUACCAGCCGUUGCAUGAGGAAGACGCAGCGGAUCCUCUCUGAUCCCAGCCACAGACUUUUCACACUCCUGCCAUCCAGCAGGUGGUUCAGGACCAUCCAGACCCGCACUACCAGACACAGAGACAGUUUUUACACACAAGCCAUCAGACUUUUGAACUGCUGACAUUCUAUACACAUCAUUACACACUCAUUACAAUUACAGGACUCUACACACUGCCACUUCAAAAAUGCCACUUAAAUGUUCAUUGCACAAGUUUUGCACAACCUGUAAAUAACAACUUGUCUUAAAUUCACUAAAUAUUUAAUACUUUUUAUUCUUAAUUUAACUGCACACAUGGGGGUUAGUACUGUUUCCUCACAGCAGGAAACUCCUGGUUUUGAAUUCCUCAUCUGGCCUGGGCCUUUGUGAGGUUUGCAUGUUCUUCCCAUGUCUAUGUGGAUUCUCUCUGGGUACUCCAGCUUCCUCCCACAGUCCAAAGACAUGAAGUCAGUGGGUUUAGGUUAAAUGGUGAUUUUAAGCUGCCCAUAGGCAAGAAUGGUUGUCUUUCUCUGUUUUAACCCAUACAUAUUCAGACUAAAACCUGAGGACCAAACUGGUUUAGAUAAUAAGAAGUCAGCCUGUUUAAGAACUGUACCACAUCUAGCAGUCUGCAUGUAUUCUAAAGAGAGCUAAGAUUUCCAACACCUUUUCCCUUGAAGUGAUUACAGCAGCUAGGAUGUAAACAUGUUUGGACACUAGGGAUUUUUUCUAACCACAGCCUGGAGCUGCAGGUGUUUUUCCAAAUGUUUGUUUUGUAAUUAUGAAAGUUCAUAAUUGCCACACACAGACACACUGAUUAUUGUCUGAAGUACAUCAUUUUGGUUUCAGUUCUAAGGAUUUGGAUGUCAUCAAAGUUAAAUUUUCUUUAUAAGGAAGAACUUGUUCAUUGUGUGAACUUUAAAGUCCUCUUCUCAUCCUUAGCAGCGAUGAUCUGUGGAGGAGUUCAGCUGUGUUGUUAUUAAUGUCAGAGACGUCACUGAGCACAGUGGCAAACGCAUCAGUCAUGGUGCUUUUUGUUUUGAGGUCAGGAUUAUUUUACAGUGGGGUUUUUUAGAAUAUUUUGUUUAAGGACAGUACAGCAGAGGCAGCUUUUUGCUAUAAUGUAUGUCUGUACCAAAGUAUAAAGAUAUUACAAAAACACAUUUAUCAGGAUUUAUAUUAGACUUGAUUUGGCAUGAAAGCUCACAAACAGCUGAGUUCUCACUUUUCAUGAAAUUUAAAUCUACAGCUUGACUGUUACUGAUAUUUUGUUUAAAGAUGAGAUUUGAUUUCCAUUGUUCUUUAUUGUCUAUUGUCUGGCAUUUACGUCAGCAGGUGCAGGAGCAGUCCAACCUGUAUCACGAUUAACCCCACACACCCAACCCAGAAACUCUUCGACCUCCCCCCUGAGGCAGGAGUAUGCACAGCUUCUUCUCAAAGGCUGUAAGAGUGGUCACCUCCAAACCUCACUGGCCUCAUUCUAGCUUGCUGUGCUGCUGCGCUGGUUUUUAAAAUGCCACACCUGGGUCUUUUGUCUAUUUAUUAUAAAAUAUGUAGUCAUAAAUUAUAUAUCUUAUUAUUAUUUUUAUUAUUUUUAUUUUUAAUCUAAUAAAAGCUGCUUUCUCUUGCACACGGUGGUUGCUCACCUGCAAGUCCCUUUGCAACCCACCUCUGCCCUUACUCCUCCAUACAUGCAGUAGCUGACUUAACCCUCUGGGGUCAAUGGAUGCGCUGGCGCGUCCAAAUCACUUGACCAAUUUGAGACGACACAGCAACAAGAUGUAGCCAACCAGAGCCUCCAUUUCAACUUGUGUUGAAAGUGCAGACUUCAAGCUAUAUUGCAGUUUUUAAAAGUUUUAAAAUCUUUUUUGCAAAACUUGUGCAUAGGUUUUUUUAAUUUCAAGUUGUGAAAAUUAUUUGUUCAAUUUGUGAUUGUUACAGUAAAAAAUAAAGUACUUUUUUUGUACUUGGAUUUAGAUUUAGUCUCAGAUCAAUCCCGUUAAUGCAGUAUGUCAAAAUGAAAAAAUAACAGUAAAUCCAGAUAUUAGAUUGUGCUGAAAAGAAUAGUACAAAACAAGGCAAGGUAAAUAAUUUUUAAAGGUGAGGUAAAAUCAAAAGUAGGAAAAAAUGGCCAGUUAUAGUGUGGAAGAAGAGGGAAAGUCAAUAUAUCAGUCAUCACAGGCUUCUGACUAUAGAGGCUCUAGACUUGUGUUUUGAGACCUAGUUCCAGCUUAGCCAUCAGAAAGGGAUCCGUCUAACUCUACAUCAUCUCUUUACAAAAACAAUAACAACUGAAAUCACCAGUGAUGAAACAUGAAAGUCGGGACUUUUUAGAUAGUUCAGGAUUUUUCCCCUUAAAGCUGUCUUUCUGGGUGUUCAUGUUUGUCAGUGUUGAAAACACUUUUAUUAAAAAAAGAAAAGUACGAGGUACUUGUGGAAAAUAAGACUAGGCUUAUUUUUGAGAGUUGUUUCUUAGUCUUCAGUGUCAGUUUCGGGGAAGAAAGAAAUUAUGUAAGAAAAAAAAACCUGAGUGUUUUUAGUUUCCCUGAAAUUACUUCAGCUUCUGUAAUUUACACUUUUCCAUCAAGUUUCAUGAACAUGGCACUUUUGUUUCUUUCUUUUUUAACUUACUGUAGGGACAAUGAGAUAAAAGAGCAAACAGCACUGUAAACCUGAUUCACAAUGUGAAAAUACUUUUGCAUGUUAAAAAUAUAUUAAAACUCUUAAAGUCUUUGUUGUGACGCUCCAAACUGAAGGCAGCAGAAACUAGUUUGCCUUUGAGAUGUGAUAGAACUUGUUCCACUAAUGGCAAACUAAAUGGACUGCACAUAGUUUAGAAAUAUACUUACUCGUGUAAUUAAGAUCAAACUAACUAAAGACCAAAACACCGCAGAACCAUAUGUGACCAAGUGGACUUCAGGGACUAGUAGCCACAACUCAUCAUCACUCAGGAAGCUCCACUCUGAAUUAGCAGACAAAGGUAGGGGUGGACUACUUGGGCAAAGUGUAGGGGGCCCCGGGCAAACCUGUGCCUUUCAACAUGUCACAAUGGAGAUGUCGAACCUUGUCCAAGUCUCCCACAGGGGCAAUGGUAUAUACAGCCCCAUUCCCUUGAGGUGCCCUGAACACCUGGUAGGCAACGGAGCUCCAUAGGUCCUGGAUCUUGUGCCGGCCCCGGGCACUGUGAUCUCGAAGAUACACCAGUCGACUGACCUGUAAAGGCGCAGGGUGGACUCUCUGAUCAUGCCGCUACUUGAGACAGUCAGCGGCCAUCGACAACCGUGUCCAAGCUCCCUCAAAAGCCACUAUUAACCUGGCUUGAUGCUCAGCAAUCCUGUACUUUUCCUGGCACUGGGUCCCGGGCCAAUAGCAACGCUGCCUGACCAGUUCAGUGGUACGCUCAAUAUCCUGGUGCUCAUGGUCCUUGUGCAGUUGUCUCAAGGUCUCAACCCCCCCACCCCCUCUUGAGACGGGAAGUCUACAGUCUACAGCUUAGUAGCAGAGGGUAACACCGCGGGACACCGAGCCUGCUGAAGCAGAGUUGGAACUGAAGUCCCAGGCACCACACUCUUGACCAGGCUAGAGCUUGUCUCAUACUGUUGAGAGAGAACGUCAGGAUUCCCAUUGCUGCGGCCCGAGUUGAAGUUGAAGUCGCUCCACCAGAUCUCAGACCAGCGCUGUACCGCCAAGUUUCUAAGUUGUUGCAGCUCCUCUUCCAUGGCGAUAAUCCUAGACAAACCAAAAACAAGGGAAAGUUAAGGUAGUGAAAUGCUAAAAUCCUGUUUCUAUUCUUCCUGAACCUGGAUUCUGCUGUCUUGUCUACAAUCAACCACAAAAAAAAGUCUUAAAAUACUAUGAUCAGUACCUAAAUAAAACAAUUUACGAGACCCUCAACCUCAAAUGUGCAUCCUGUCGAACAUAAAUGAAGCAUCAGGUCCCAGAAACUGACCCCUGGGGCACAGUGCGCUCAGUAACUGGAAAGCAGAAGAUCUCUGAGUAACUUAACAAUGAAUUCCAUGUUAAGAGGGAUGUGAGCAGUUAUCCAGUGGGUAAGAGAAUCUUAAGAGAAAUAUUAAUGGUGGGAUAGUUUGAAGAACACUUGAGAAGAUUCUCUGCAAGCUGCAGUGACUGAAUACCUGAAUUAUUGUUUUUUUUAACCACUUUGAAGAAUCUCCUCAAUAGAUACAGUAAUAGUUUCCAUCAUAACAGAUACUGUUCAGUUUUCUGACUAAAACUGAAACACAGAGUACAGACUUUCACUGACUGAAAUUUACAUUGGAUUUUUAUUUUCCACUUUGUUGUGCUUAUUGCUGCACAACAAAGCACCUUGCAGGGAUUGUUCCCACGCUGGCAAAAGUUUACUGCAAAUGAUAAAUGACGCUAUAUUUUGUAAAACAACAUUUUAUCACCUAUUUUUAACAACUUUCUCAGGGGCAGACCUAAAGAAAUGUUCUUAGGGUGGCAUGAGGGCAGCAGGGAAGCUACUUUUUUCACACAAAAAAGUCAGAAAUCUGUAGUGUUACGAAAAAAAUUAUAUAUUAUCACCAAAAAUGUAAAACAAAUUUUUGAUGUUUCACUGGGUUAAUGCACUUAUCUUCAUGCUUUUUCCAGAGUGUACUAAUCAAACAUCUGCACUCAAAAAAAAUGAAAUUGGGUGGUUGUUAGAUUUACAAGAUUGAA